GAUCAUGGCUCAGGACGAACGCUGGCGGCGCGCCUAACACAUGCAAGUCGAACGGAGUCAAGAGGAGCUUGCUUUUCUUGACUUAGUGGCGAACGGGUGAGUAACGCGUGAGUAACCUGCCCUGGAGUGGGGGACAACAGUUGGAAACGACUGCUAAUACCGCAUAAGCCCACGGCCCGGCAUCGGGCUGCGGGAAAAGGAUUUAUUCGCUUCAGGAUGGACUCGCGUCCAAUUAAGCUAGUUUGGGUUGAGGG
rnacentral:rRNA from 1 species